GUCACAGGACAAUAAAGGGAGAAGCUGGCUAUGCUGGUCAUCUGAACGCUGUCCCCGUGUCGUUCCUUCUUCGCCGACUCCGUCCACACCUUUGGGAACCCCUGGACCUGCUGGGGCUGGACCCCAACG